rnacentral:rRNA from 1 species
UACGGAGGGAGCGAGCGUUAAUCGGAAUUACUGGGCGUAAAGGGUGCGUAGGUGGUUGAUUAAGUUAUCUGUGAAAUUCCUGGGCUUAACCUGGGACGGUCAGAUAAUACUGGUUGACUCGAGUAUGGGAGAGGGUAGUGGAAUUUCCGGUGUAGCGGUGAAAUGCGUAGAGAUCGGAAGGAACACCAGUGGAGAAGGCGGCUACCUGGCCUAAUACUGACACUGAGGCACGAAAGCGUGGGGAGCAAACAGU